rnacentral:rRNA from 1 species
UGGGGAAUAUUGGGCAAUGGGCGAAAGCCUGACCCAGCAACGCCGCGUGAAGGAAGAAGGUCUUCGGAUUGUAAACUUCUUUUAUAAGGGACGAAGGACGUGACGGUACCUUAUGAAUAAGCCACGGCUAACUACGUGCCAGCAGCCGCGGUAAUACGUAGGUGGCAAGCGUUAUCCGGAUUUACUGGGUGUAAAGGGCGCGUAGGCGGGGAUGCAAGUCAGAUGUGGAAUCUAUGGGCUUAACCCAUAAACUGCAUUUGAAACUGUAUCUCUUGAGUGCUGGAGAGGUAAUCGGAAUUCCUAGUGUAGCGGUGAAAUGCGUAGAUAUUAGGAGGAACACCAGUGGCGAAGGCGGAUUGCUGGACGACAACUGACGGUGAGACGCGAAAGCGUGGGGAGCAAACAGGAUUAGAUACCCUGGUAGU